rnacentral:lncRNA from 1 species
CUUUUCCCGAUGUUUCCCUGGCGUUUCCACAGCAGCGCUGCUCUUCCCCUUCCCGAAAUGCCAGGCUCGUUAUCCAAUAUAAAGGGAGAUUUCCCAGGAUCAUCUCCUGUCAGGAAUGGAUUCCUGGUGGAGAUGAGGGGAGGGAGAGGUUGGAUCUCCCUCUGGAUAUGGGAGAGGUUGGAUCUCCGUCAGGAUGUGGGAUGCAGGAGAAUCCAGCCCCUGAACCACGGGAAGCUGAGGUAUCCCCGGAGCGUUUGGAGCAGGAAGAUCCGGGAUUCUGGGAUAACUCCACCCUGUGUCCCCAUGGAGCAAGGAAAAAUCCCCCUGGAUGCAUCCCGAACAUCUGCUUUGUCAGGAGUCAUCCUGGUCCCACAGAAAAAAAUGGGAUCACACCCACAAAACCCCUGGAAUUUUCCCCUGGAUACGGCUGGAGCCGGGAUCCACCCACCUUGGUGCCCACCACGGGAGGAUCCCAAGGAAAACCCUCUGGAGUCACCGGGAAUGCAGGGAGGGAGAGCUGGAAUUCAAAGCUAGAUCAGGAGCUGCUUCCCAGCAGAAUUCCAGCCCCUCACUUCCAUCCAGCCAUCCCAGCAUUCCAAGGACAUCCGGGAAAAGCUCCGCGCUUCCUGCCGGAGACCUUUCCGUGCCUCCGACACCGGCUGCUCCCGCCUUUUCCAGGAAACAUUUCCGGGAUGAGCGGAGCCCUGCCCCGCUCCCGGGAUUCCCCGGCGGCCAUGUGCAAUUCCAAGGCUUUAUGGCUCCCCCAUGGAGCCUUCCCGGCGCCCUUGGAGCACGAUUAUCCCGGGAAACGGCGCCUUUAUGGACUCCAGCUGGGAAGUGGGACCUUAAUGAGCCCUCCUUGGCACAGCUCCAUAUGUUUUCCGCCUUCUCCCGAGAUCCCGGUUUUUUAUGGUGACAUUUAUUUCAUGGAAAUGAGCCUGGGAAUGAAGAUCCAUGGCCCUUCCUGGAGAUUAGCGGGAAUGGCUUCCCACUGCCAGGGGUAAAGCUGGAAGGGAGAGGGGAAGCACGGCUGAAUAUUCCCUCCUCCCGCCUGGACGGGAAUCCAAUAAAAUCUGGGAUUUUUC